rnacentral:tRNA from 1 species
GAGGGAGUGGUUCAGUGGCAGAGCAUGGGCUCAGCACGCCCAAGGCCCUGGGUUCAAUUCCCAGCACUUUCC